ACCAUCCUUUUCUUGGGGUUGCACUACUGUCCGAUGAGCAUGUAGCGAGGGCAGUACUGCUAACGCCUAAAAAAAAAAAAGGGAUCUCAUUGGUUCUUUAGGGAAUGGGUCAGUCAUUCUUGUUAAA